AGCUGUGAGGCUGCUCUGGCCAGGCUAGCUGUGCCUGCUCCUCCCUCACUACUCCCUGAACGUCUCUUUGGAAGCUGCAUGUUUAAAGUGAAUGAACUUUCCCAAAGAGACACUGACCCACUCGUUACUUGAGGUGGCUAAGGGUAGAGUAUUAACUGCACUCUGCUAGAACCCCCAUAUAAGCUUUCAAGGUCCAAUACUAACAUCAGCUCUUCGAAGGACACCCCCAAGGGCAAUCACCCACGGAGUUCCUAUAAUAUAGUAUCAUA
rnacentral:sRNA from 1 species